rnacentral:rRNA from 1 species
ACAGAUCGUUCAGAGUUUGAUCCUGGCUACAGGACGAACGGCUGGCGGCGUGCCUAAUACAUGCAAGUAGAACGCUGAAGAGAGGAGCUUGCUCUUCUUGGAUGAGUUGCGAACGGGUGAGUAACGCGUAGGUAACCUGCCUGGUAGCGGGGGAUAACUAUUGGAAACGAUAGCUAAUACCGCAUGAAAUUGAAUAUCGCAUGAUACUUAAUUGAAAGAUGCAACUGCAUCACUACCAGAUGGACCUGCGUUGUAUUAGCUAGUUGGUGAGGUAACGGCUCACCAAGGCGACGAUACAUAGCCGACCUGAGAGGGUGAUCGGCCACACUGGGACUGAGACACGGCCCAG